UACGAAGGGGGGCUAGCGUUGCUCGGAAUUAUUGGGCGUAAAGAGCUCGUAGGCGGUCUGUCGCGUCUGCUGUGAAAACUCAGGGCUUAACCCUGAGCUUGCAGUGGGUACGGGCAGACUAGAGUGCGGUAGGGGAGACUGGAAUUCCUGGUGUAGCGGUGAAAUGCGCAGAUAUCAGGAGGAACACCGGUGGCGAAGGCGGUUCUCUGGGCAUUACCUGACGGCUGAGGAGCGAAAGUGUCGGGGAGCGAACGGG
rnacentral:rRNA from 1 species